rnacentral:rRNA from 1 species
GCGGCGUGCCUAAUACAUGCAAGUCGAGCGGACAGAUGGGAGCUUGCUCCCUGAUGUUAGCGGCGGACGGGUGAGUAACACGUGGGUAACCUGCCUGUAAGACUGGGAUAACUCCGGGAAACCGGGGCUAAUACCGGAUGGUUGUUUGAACCGCAUGGUUCAGACAUAAAAGGUGGCUUCGGCUACCACUUACAGAUGGACCCGCGGCGCAUUAGCUAGUUGGUGAGGUAACGGCUCACCAAGGCGACGAUGCGUAGCCGACCUGAGAGGGUGAUCGGCCACACUGGGACUGAGACACGGCCCAGACUCCUACGGGAGGCAGCAGUAGGGAAUCUUCCGCAAUGGACGAAAGUCUGACGGAGCAACGCCGCGUGAGUGAUGAAGGUUUUCGGAUCGUAAAGCUCUGUUGUUAGGGAAGAACAAGUGCCGUUCAAAUAGGGCGGCACCUUGACGGUACCUAACCAGAAAGCCACGGCUAACUACGUGCCAGCAGCCGCGGUAAUACGUAGGUGGCAAGCGUUGUCCGGAAUUAUUGGGCGUAAAGGGCUCGCAGGCGGUUUCUUAAGUCUGAUGUGAAAGCCCCCGGCUCAACCGGGGAGGGUCAUUGGAAACUGGGGAACUUGAGUGCAGAAGAGGAGAGUGGAAUUCCACGUGUAGCGGUGAAAUGCGUAGAGAUGUGGAGGAACACCAGUGGCGAAGGCGACUCUCUGGUCUGUAACUGACGCUGAGGAGCGAAAGCGUGGGGAGCGAACAGGAUUAGAUACCCUGGUAGUCCACGCCGUAAACGAUGAGUGCUAAGUGUUAGGGGGUUUCCGCCCCUUAGUGCUGCAGCUAACGCAUUAAGCACUCCGCCUGGGGAGUACGGUCGCAAGACUGAAACUCAAAGGAAUUGACGGGGGCCCGCACAAGCGGUGGAGCAUGUGGUUUAAUUCGAAGCAACGCGAAGAACCUUACCAGGUCUUGACAUCCUCUGACAAUCCUAGAGAUAGGACGUCCCCUUCGGGGGCAGAGUGACAGGUGGUGCAUGGUUGUCGUCAGCUCGUGUCGUGAGAUGUUGGGUUAAGUCCCGCAACGAGCGCAACCCUUGAUCUUAGUUGCCAGCAUUCAGUUGGGCACUCUAAGGUGACUGCCGGUGACAAACCGGAGGAAGGUGGGGAUGACGUCAAAUCAUCAUGCCCCUUAUGACCUGGGCUACACACGUGCUACAAUGGACAGAACAAAGGGCAGCGAAACCGCGAGG